AUCCUUCAUGUAAUAUAUCACAUAUUCAUAAAUAAAUAAACUUAUAUAAUGUACUUCAAUUCGCAACCAAGUAUGUACACCUACAUAAUUAAUAUAUAACAAACUGCGUCGACUGUUAAUUUGCCUCCAUCGUGUGAUCCUUGAUCAAUAGGUCAUGACCAGGUCAACUAGCAUAUAUACAGAGUCAAAGCGGUUCACGAAUGUAAUUUUUUCCGGAAAUUAAUUUCUGUAGUAAUCUGUAUACAUAAUAUUGUUACAUGUAAAUCUAACCUUCUAUUAUUAUUAUUAAUUUACUGA
rnacentral:lncRNA from 1 species